rnacentral:antisense_RNA from 1 species
CUUCACCGAUCCCAGCCACAGCGGCCGCUCCGCCGGGCGGUCGUGCCCGUACGCCGCGAGGAGCGCCCGGGCUUC